UUUAUGCAGAGUUUGAUCCUGCCUCAGGACGAACGCUGGCGGCGAGCCUAAUCCAUCCAAGAUGAGCGAAUGAUGAAGAAGCUUGCUUCUUCUGAUUUAGCGGCGGACGGGUGAGUAACACGUGGGCAACCUGCCCUACAGAUUGGGAUAACACAGUGAAAAUUGUGCUAAUACCGAAUAAUACAUUUU
rnacentral:rRNA from 1 species